rnacentral:rRNA from 1 species
CUGGCUCAGGAUGAACGCUAGCUACAGGCUUAACACAUGCAAGUCGAGGGGCAUCAGAUCGAAAGCUUGCUUUGAUGCUGGCGACCGGCGCACGGGUGAGUAACGCGUAUCCAACCUUCCCUAUAGUAGAGAAUAGCCCGGCGAAAGUCGGAUUAAUGCUCUAUGUUGUAUUUAGAGGACAUCUGAAGAAUACCAAAGGUUUACCGCUAUAGGAUGGGGAUGCGUCUGAUUAGGUAGUAGGCGGGGUAACGGCCCACCUAGCCGACGAUCAGUAGGGGUUCUGAGAGGAAGGUCCCCCACAUUGGAACUGAGACACGGUCCAAACUCCUACGGGAGGCAGCAGUGAGGAAUAUUGGUCAAUGGACGGAAGUCUGAACCAGCCAAAGUAGCGUGCAGGAUGACGGCCCUAUGGGUUGUAACUGUCUUUUAUAUAGGAUAAAGUCGGGGACGUGUCCCCGUUUGUAGGUACUAUAUGAAUAAGGGCCGGCUAAUUCCGUGCCAGCCGCGGC